UUUCUUUUUUUUUUCCUCUUUCUUUUCGUUUAAAAAAUUUAGUCGCUUUCAAUCCUUUUCCCUUUUAGCCUUCACUUACGUUAUCCCCAUUCUUAAACCUCUCCUCUUUUUAUUUGUGUUUAUUUUUUUUUACCAUUCCCCCACUAUCACUCAUUAUUUUUCUUUUCUUUUUUUUCCAUUUUUACCCUCUUGCCAAAUUCUUCCCGUAAAAGUGGGAAAAAAAAAAAGAAAAAAGAAAAUACAAUUUCUCAUUGGACGAUUUUACCCCUAAGAAUAUCAACUUUCUACGGUUUUGCGACCGAGGAAUCCGAGUGUUCGUUGGGGCCUAGCUUACGUGGCAUUUAAGAAAGGGCCAAGAAAGAAAAGAAAAGGGCAGAUGAGUUUUCAUUUCCACAGCCGUGGGCUGUUAUCGGCUGGACCGUCCAAAAAGCGUAAGGAGCCAUCCACGCCUUCGGCUUCUAAAGCCGGUGAGCCUUCGGUUUCAUCUAACCGGCUUCUAGCCGGGUACAUGGCUUAUGAGUUUCUAACAAAAGGGACUCUAUUUGGGCGGAAGUUCGACCCGCCUCGAGACGAAGCAACCCCAUCCGCCGCCUCCGCCGCCGUCAUCCAGUGGAAGAAGCCGAAGUCGGAUGCCGCACCGCCCGAGAUCUUGAAGAAAGAGCAUCAGAUUCAGAGUUACGCCGAGGUGGCAAACAUCCUCAAGACUACUGGGUCCCACAUAUCCGGAAUCGUUAACCCGACCCAACUGGGUCGGUGGCUUCAAAAGUGACCCAACAAACGGAAAAAAAAAAAACGCUGUCCACAUGGCGAAAUCCUAUUGGCAGUGCUAGCGUGAAUUGCUUCCUCCACGUCAUAUUUUGACCCAGUCUUUGAGGUUUCUUGACCUUUUAGAAGACACGCGGCUCUCACUGAAAAACUCUCCCUUAUGAUUUUCCGAUUGUCGGCGGCCCGGAAAAUCUUAGGAGCGGCGACGAUAGAUUAGUUAGUUUUGUUGGAUCAAAUUUAUCUAUGUUGCGUUCUUCUGUUUAUUUUUGUUGCGUUUUUUCUUUUUAGAAUAAACGAGGAUAUAAUUAUAAUUAUGAGCUGUGUGGUGUAAUUACAUUAUUUAUAAAUCCUUCUUCUUUCUCUUUAUAUAAUAUAUAUAUGUAUGUAAAUAGUUUUAUAUUUGAUUUAUAAUGUGUGGAAAUUUGAAGGGUAUCUCUUAUUUGCAUGGAUGACAAGCGGCAAUUGUUGAUGACAAAUACAAGCAGAUGGACAUAUAUAUAUUUUAGGAAUAUAUAAAAUAAAAAGUGAAGCAAAGAGUUGGGUUUUUGUCGUUAUGUAGAAUGGAACAACGGAAGAACAUGCAUGCAUGGUGAAUCUCUGCCUGUCGCUCUUUU
rnacentral:lncRNA from 1 species